rnacentral:rRNA from 1 species
UACGGAGGGUGCAAGCGUUAUCCGGAUUCACUGGGUUUAAAGGGUGCGUAGGCGGAAUGAUAAGUCAGUGGUGAAAGCCUGCAGCUUAACUGUAGAAUUGCCGUUGAUACUGUUGUUCUUGAGUAUAUUUGAUGUGGGCGGAAUGUGUCAUGUAGCGGUGAAAUGCUUAGAUAUGACACAGAACACCGAUUGCGAAGGCAGCUCACAAAACUAUAACUGACGCUGAGGCACGAAAGCGUGGGGAUCAAACAGG